rnacentral:rRNA from 1 species
ACUCCUACGGGAGGCAGCAGUGGGGAAUAUUGCACAAUGGGCGCAAGCCUGAUGCAGCAACGCCGCGUGAGUGAUGAAGGCCUCGGUCGUAAAGACUCUGUCCUCAAGAAGAAUAAAUAGACGGUACUUGAGGAGGAAGCCCGGCCGUAACUACGUGCCAGCAGCCGCGGUAAUACGUAGGGGGCGAAGCGUUAUCCGGAAUCACUGGGCGUAAAGGGGUGCGUAGGCGGUUUUCUAAGUCAGAAGUGAAAGGCUAUGGCUCAACCAUAGUAAGCUUUUGAAACUGUUAAACUUGAGUGCAGGAGAGGAAAGUGGAAUUCCUAGUGUAGAGGUGAAAUUCGUAGAUAUUAGGAGGAACACCAGUGGCGAAGGCGACUUUCUGGACUGUAACUGACGCUGAGGCACGAAAGCGUGGGGAGCGAACAGGAUUAGAUACCCUGGUAGCACAGAG